GAUUUGGGGAACUGAAAAGGAGAGGAGGAGGAGGAGGAGGAGGAGGGAUACACAAGUCUCCGUGUAACUUGAGGGCAACAACACAUAUCUGGUCACCAUGUAUCACCCUGUCACAGUGGACCCCAGUGGACCCCAGGCACUGACGGUGUCCCCAGAAAAACCCUGUAGGACAGACGUGAAGUGCCCUCACAGCAGUGAGGAUGACCAGCUGGCUGACAGCUCUCAACACUCACGCACAACUUCCGCAGGCAGCGGCUUCAAGCUACCGGCACCUUCUCCCCGCUAUCCUCAUACAAGACCUCAUCCAGUGAAAAUAACCCACCUUGAUAAAUGUAAGUUAACAUGAAGGAGAGCCACACAACUGGGAGUCUUCUGCGUUAUAUCUAACGCAUAACAAUAUAAUUAUCCGGUACAAUAAACAAAAAAAGAUUA